rnacentral:rRNA from 1 species
UACGUAGGGGGCUAGCGUUGUCCGGAAUCAUUGGGCGUAAAGAGCGUGUAGGCGGUCCGGUAAGUCCGUUGUGAAAGUCAGGGGCUCAACCCUUGAAUGCCGGCGGAUACUGUCGGGCUAGAGUCCGGAAGAGGCGAGUGGAAUUCCUGGUGUAGCGGUGGAAUGCGCAGAUAUCAGGAGGAACACCAAUAGCGAAGGCAGCUCGCUGGGACGGUACUGACGCUAAGGCGCGAAAGCGUGGGGAGCGAACGAGG